GAUGAACGCUAGCGACAGGCUUAACACAUGCAAGUCGAGGGGCAGCGGGGGCGAAGCUUGCUUCGCCUGCCGGCGACCGGCGCACGGGUGAGUAACACGUAUGCAACCUACCCCCUGCAGGGGAAUAACCCGGAGAAAUCCGGACUAAUACCACACGGCACUUUCGGGAGGCAUCUUCUGAGGGUUAAAGGAGCGAUCCGGCCGGGGAUGGGCAUGCGGCGCAUUAGCUAGUCGGCGGGGUAACGGCCCACCGAGGCGACGAUGCGUAGGGGUUCUGAGAGGAAGGUCCCCCACAUUGGAACUGAGACACGGUCCAA
rnacentral:rRNA from 1 species